CCAAUAGCGUAUAUUAAAGUUGUUGCAGUUAAAAAGCUCGUAGUUGAAUUUCGGGAUCAAUAUGCUGGUCGUGCCAUUGGUACGUACUAGUAUUAUUGGUUUCUCCCUUCUGAUGAAUCAUGAUGUCAUUAAUUUGAUGUCAUGAGGAAUCAGGACUGUUACUUUGAAAAAAUUAGAGUGUUUAAAGCAGGCUCACGCUUGAAUACAUUAGCAUGGAAUAAUGAAAUAGGACGUUUGAUUCUAUUUUGUUGGUUUCUAGGAUUGACGUAAUGAUUAAUAGGGAUAGUUGGGGGCAUUAGUAUUCAAUUGUCAGAGGUGAAAUUCUUGGAUUUAUUGAAGACUAACUACUGCGAAAGCAUUUGCCAAGGAUGUUUUCAUUAAUCAAGAACGAAAGUUAGGGGAUCGAAGACGAUCAGAUACCGUCGUAGUCUUAACCAUAAACUAUGCCGACUAGGGAUCGGAUGAUGUUAAUUUUUUAAUGACUCAUUCGGCGCCUUACG
rnacentral:rRNA from 1 species